GGGGGGUGACGUUGUCGGGAAUAUUGGGCGUAAGGGCUCGCAGGCGGUUUCUUAAGUCUGAUGUGAAAGCCCCCGGCUCAACCGGGGAGGGUCAUUGGAAACUGGGGAACUUGAGUGCAGAAGAGGAGAGUGGAAUUCCACGUGUAGCGGUGAAAUGCGAUAGAGAUGUGGAGGAACACCAGUGGCGAAGGCGACUCUCUGGUCUGUAACUGACGCUGAGGAGCGAAAGCGUGGGGAGCGAACAGGAUUAGAUACCCUGGUAGUCCACGCCGUAAACGAUGAGUGCUAAGUGUUAGGGGGUUUCCGCCCCUUAGUGCUGCAGCUAACGCAUUAAGCACUCCGCCUGGGGAGUACGGUCGCAAGACUGAAACUCAAAGGAAUUGACGGGGGCCCGCACAAGCGGUGGAGCAUGUGGUUUAAUUCGAAGCAACGCGAAGAACCUUACCAGGUCUUGACAUCCUCUGACAAUCCUAGAGAUAGGACGUCCCCUUCGGGGGCAGAGUGACAGGUGGUGCAUGGUUGUCGUCAGCUCGUGUCGUGAGAUGUUGGGUUAAGUCCCGCAACGAGCGCAACCCUUGAUCUUAGUUGCCAGCAUUCAGUUGGGCACUCUAAGGUGACUGCCGGUGACAAACCGGAGGAAGGUGGGGAUGACGUCAAAUCAUCAUGCCCCUUAUGACCUGGGCUACACACGUGCUACAAUGGACAGAACAAAGGGCAGCGAAACCGCGAGGUUAAGCCAAUCCCACAAAUCUGUUCUCAGUUCGGAUCGCAGUCUGCAACUCGACUGCGUGAAGCUGGAAUCGCUAGU
rnacentral:rRNA from 1 species